AAGUCAUUGCUGAGUACUCUCUCAAAGUAGCAGCAACACUCACAAACCGAAAGAGGUCAUGGCUGGAACAUGUCUUAUUCACUGUGUCCUGAUUCAAGUCCUGCUUAUCACAGUCUAUGCUCAAUUACCAACAAACUGUACAAAUCAAACUACCACUGAGGGAGAACCAGUACAUCUAACCUGCAAUGUUACAUGUAAAAAAUGUGAAACACAGAGUUAUUUUUAGAAGCAUGGAGAAGCUACAAUCAACUGCAGUAAAAUGCGUCACUUUACUAGUGGCAACAGUCAUAUAUUUAAUUGCACAAUUGAAAGUGCAUUACCGAGUCACAAUGGAACAUUUACAUUUUGGGGACAAAUGAAAGAAGGAAUUGGUGAAACAGAAUUCAACGUGACCAUAGGUACUUUUCUUUUGUUGUUUUAUAAGAUAUAUACCUCUUGUGUAUGACUGCAGAGCACAUUGUUAAAUUUCAUUUCAUUUUAUUUUUCUAACAGUGCCGCGUGCUGCUAAUCCCACCACACCAGGUACUGUUUCUACAACCAGUUCUCAUGGUCAUAAAGGUACUUUGCUUUCACUGUGUUCAAUAGACAUAAUUUAUUUGCUGCAAGAGAUGUGAUGUG